AGAAGAUCGCUCACACACAAUGUAUAGCACAAUAAUGACCACAGAACACACACUCUGAAAACUUAUUUCCUGCCAUCACUUUCUUGGUCCUCACGCUGCAUUCUGAAAUAAUAAGAGAGUGAGAAUCCAGUCCCCUUUCUACACAGCAGCUAUGCAAAUAUUUGAGAAAGUCUUCUGUGAUCUUCUGUAAUCUUUACUCUAGUUGAGUGGCCAGUUUAUCCAGUUUUCCUGUGUGUGCCAGAAAACCUAGUGACCUCCUAGCCUGGGUCUGAAGACAUUGGUAGUUGGGACAUCUCCAUUCACAGUGUCAGAAUUCACUGUCUAAGUGAGUUGACGGAACAGCGAGUCAUUCAUGAAAGAACAGUUCCUGAAGAGGAAUGAAUUCCACUGAUAAGCCUUAGCAUGAGCCCUGACCAUGGAGUCCAGGGAUGUGUGCUCUUACUACAUGUCUCCUUCAAGAACUUGGGUUAACUGCAGUCCAGAUCCACCAAAACACAGCUAGAAACCAGUGAGGCUCUGGAGAAGAACAAUAAAAUGGCAACUUCAGUCUCCAGGCAGAGCUUCCAGGAGGGUCGGCUCCAAAGAGGAACAAAGGAACCAGGGUGCGAGGUAUCACAGGGAACCAACAGAGAGGAUGUCUAAGCUAACCAAGGUGCUUCCAGAACGAAGCUGUUCUCUUUUUCCUGGCUUGGCCACCACACUCCAGAACUGUCACGGAGCUGAAGGAGUGCGCAGGCCAGAGCCCCGUUUGCACCUAGGGCACUGCUUCCCUGGCCCUGCUGAACCGCUGUAUCCACACUGUUCUAUCACCAACUAAUUACAGCGAACAAAGCCCACUGCACGAGCUCAUGCCGCCUCUGUUUUUUUCUGAGGACAAAAGUGCAGGGCCGACGUUCAGUGAAUAUUAAGUGGCAACAAUUUAAAUCGGAGAGCGCUGCGCAUGAUGUGAAUUCACUGGUCCUACAAGUGUGGUGACAUUUGAGGUGUUAGCAGCCCAUCAGCCUGGCUACUGUAUCAGCCUCGGAAGUCUCUCAGAUGGCACAGCAUUAGGUGGAAGUAACCCACUGGAAACAUUGUUGGGGCUAAAUGCCUCUAAUGUGACACCCAUAUUGAUUCGCUUAAAAUUCUAGACAAUGGUCCUACACUUGUGGAAAAGUGACACAUGACACUUUCCUGAGAGUUAUUCUUCCAGUCAGUCAACAAUCAUUUCUUAACCACUUAUUUAUGUGUGCCAGGAACGGCCCAAGGUACUUGGGAGGGCAGAAGCAUGCAGGGUGCUUAGGAGGGCAAAGAAUCUUUAUGGAUUCUGCCAUAGCUUACACAUUUUCAGUUAAAAAAAAAAAGUAUAGCAUUGUCAAGUGUCUUGGUCAUUUGCUUAUCUCACAAGAACUUAUUGAUAACCUCCUGUAGCCCAUGGAUAACACUGGGUGUUGUGGAGGCAGCUGCAAGAUGCAUAGAUGGCCCCCGUGGCUUGUAAACGUAGGGUUUGGGAAACUAUGUGCAAGUAUUAUAUCGGAGGGCUUCUGUACUGUGUGGAAUAGAGUGGAACACGGGGCACUGCCUGUGUGUGUGAGAGAGUGGAGGGGGCAUGUCAGUGGGUGGGCUCAGAACACAUGACAGUGAGUGUGUCAAUGUCAGGUGCCCAGGAGUUGGGGGUGGGGAUGGGGACGGGGUGGGGGAGGAGUUCCCUCCUGUCAUCAGAAAGACAGAGGCCCAAAGUGGCCCAAUGCUGGAAUUUGACUUCAGAUGAAAGCAAACAUAGAACUUUAAAUGUCAGGAAGAAAUAAGGGUUAUCCAGGGAGUAAGAAUAGUGUGGAGCUGCUUAGCCUGUUGGGGACUUGUGGAUAAGAAGGUGUGGCUGGAAGAGUGUCCCCAUGACAGUGAAAAGCAGAAGUUUUGAAGCCCAAGUGCGAUUGGAGGAGCCCGAGAGAGCCUGACUAUGAAGCUGGAGGACCCUCAUAGUUUCAAAGAGCUCUUGGUUUUAGAAAAGCUGACAAAGCUCCACACAGGGGAAGAGAAGAGGACAGUGAACGAGGAAAGGUCAGCUCAGAAGUGACUACAAAAGCCACAGACAUGGUGGUACAGCCAAGCUGGGUCAAAGGGGAAACCAGGGCUGAGAACAUCAUACCCUGGCAUCGACCCUCCCGCUCACACACACUGUCAAGGGGUCGGUAUAUCCAGCCAGCCAGGCAGUCUCCUGUCUCACCCCCGUUAGCAUCAUCUGAAUAAGGAACACUGUGACAAUAUCACCACGACAAUGUUAACGAAUAAGAGCAGCAAUAUUUAUUUACAUGCCAGGCGCUGGUGUGCAAUGCACUUGGGGGAAAAAAAACAAACAAACCAACACCAAACCAACACCAAAUAGCAGAGCCAUUUCAAGUAGGUUGUAAUAGUCAUUGUUGGUUUCUUUGUCUAACUCUGGUUACUUAAUAGAGUCACAAAACUAGUCAUGCGUAAGGCAAAAAAAAAAAAAAAAAAAAACCAAAACCAACCCACAAUUUUUACCCAAAUAUAGAAAAUCAUGUAAGUAUGUUUCAAGAUAAGUAAGCAGUUCGAAGACCCUUAGCAAGGUUCUAACACUUAAUUACUUUUCAAAAUUAAUCCAACAUAAUGAUUUUUACAUUUAAUAGUUAUUUCUCUGGAAGCUGUUUUGAGAGAUAAAGACUUUAAUCCUAUCUUUUUACCCCUUGCUGAAAUGGCUAACUCACUGAUUAGUGGCAAUGCUUGCAUCCGUUCGUAUAACCCAUGGAAGAUUACUUUCGCCCCACAGUGGGGGUGGGGAGGCUGCCAAGCUAGAGUUCUACCAAGUGUUUACUUUCUCAUGAGUGCUAGGAGUUGCUGGAUUCAAGUUGGAAAGGAGGAGGGCUGUGGCCAGUGGCUAGCUAUUCUCUUGAGAAGAGAAUCCGUUAUAGGUCUGCCUGGAACCCCAGUGCUCAAUUUUGUAAUGAGAAAUUUGGAAUUUUGGUUUCUUUAAAAAAAAAAAACAGAAAUAUUAUAAGAAUUUGUUUUGUUUUGUUUUGUUUUGUUUUGUUUUGUUUUAAUCCCAGGGGUGGCAAUAUACGGUUGCUUCAUGAUUUGCCUCACGUUCUAGCAGGGGUGUGAUUUAUUUAUUUGUUUAUUUAUUUCCAGCUGCAUGUAGUUUCUGCAGUUGUGUGAUAUCUGGGGUCUUUUCAGAGGGUAUAUAACUGCUAGCUUCCCGAGAGGCAUGGUGGGUUGUUGGCUGUUGGUUGUUGUUGGUCGUUGUUAGUUACGGUUCAUUUAGUAAGUCAUGCUUAAAGAAGAAGCAAGAAGAAGAAAUUAGAUAUCCCGAUGGCAAAGACCAAACUUGCCCCAAGAAACUAGACACCUCAAAUCAGCAGGAAGUGGUCUGAUGAUAAUGUCACCCCCUAAGGAUCUCUUUCCUUCCUUCUCCAUCCUUUUAUCUCUCUUAUCUAGUGUUAGGGGGCUGAAAGGGUUGGGGGAAAAAACGUGGACAAGAAUGGAAGAAAGAAGAAUCCACAAAGUAGCAAAAGGCAAGCCACACAGUUUGUUUCUAACAAUACCACAGGCAAUGCCAUCUGUCAUGCCAGCCAAGCUUUGCCUGGGUUUCUCUGUUGCAGGACACUGACAAGGCCUACCUGUAAGAACACUGAGCAAUCAGUCUUCUCCACACUUUCCAAUUAGCCUCUCUUGCUCUAGUGGUGAUAAACCUUAGCCCAAAGGCAAAAUCCAGCCCAUUGCCUGGUUUUGUAACAUUUAACAGGCAAACAACCGCAUUCACUUGUUUAAAUAUUGUCUAUGGCUGCUUUCAAUAUACCAGGGUGGAGUUUUAUACUUGCAACAAAUACCACAUGGACUAUAAAGCCUAAAAUAUUUACUAUCUGGAUCUUUAGAGGAUAGGUUACAAGUGUGCGCACGUGCACCUAAAGAAAAGCAAACAUUCAAAAAGGCAGGGACACCUGGUCAUGAGGGUGCUGCCUUCCUCAGGGAAUGGAAGCAGGGUCAGAGAGCUUAGGUAAGGGUGAUUUUGAGGAAGGAAGCCACGCCCUUGGGGAGAGAAGGGAGGCAGAAUGCUCAUGGCAAAGUUCACCUACGAAGCUUCUCUCCUGUGACAGACAGCAUUCAAAUGUCUUCGGUUGAUGAAACUUCUAGGAAGGACAGGAAUGACAACUGAAUCUCCUGGAGAAACUGUCUUUAGGCAGAUAAGCAAAUUUGGAGAAAACCUCUCAGGCAUUUGUUAUUUUUCAAGGGACUCAGCAGAAAAUAACCAGGAUAUCAUAUUUUGGGGUGGCACAGUCAGAACUUUCACAGCAAGGUUUGUUGUCUCUGGAUUCCAUCACUCAACAGACCUUUGCUUAUAUUAGUUUAAGAUGCAUUUUAGUUUGUUUUUUUUUUGGUUCGUCGAGACAGGGUUUCUGUCCAUGUGUUUUGUGUAGGAUAUGUCAAUGUGAGUUUAAGUUCCCUGGAUAUGGAGUUAUAGAUGUUAGUUGUAAACUGCCAUAUGGAUGCUAGGAACUAAUCCCAGGUUCUCUGGAAGAGCAGUAAGUACUUUUAACCGGUGAGCCCUAUCUCCAGCCAAGCAGACAUCUUCUAAAUAACAGCUUAAAGUGAGAGAGAUAGCUUUCCUGUUUGGUGAUAAUGAGGCCUAAUUAUCAGUGUUGCCUCCUGUGUCCGGGGCUCUUGUACAUUAUAACCUUUGAUCUUCUGAAAAGCUCAGAAGAAGUUGAAGUCGAUGCUCAAGCCUAGUGUAGGUCUCUACACUUCAUGGGUCUUAAAGCUGGAAUCCAAAUCUUUCCUGGUUUACUCCAAAUCAGUCACUCCUUGGGAUAUUUUGGCUAGCGAAACAAACUGCAGCUAGUCCUGGGCUCUGUGUUAACAUUUGCUGAAGACUUACUAGAAAACCUUCAUCCCCUGUCUGCAUAACUCCAGUUGGGCUUCCCUUCCCGCUUCUUUCUGCUCUUGUGUGCAUGCGAGGCUGCACACCCCUCACGGAUGCAUUCUCACCAACAGCUUAUUGUUGUCUCUAUGGCCCUGCUAAGACGCAGGAAUGCCAGCUCUCUCUGCUAAAGCACUGGUGGGUAAGAUGAAAGAGGGCUCAGUUCAUUCUGCCUUUUUUGCAGGAAUGUACCUUCUUUAAAAAACAAACAAACAAACAAACAAACAAACCAAGAAAAACCCUGCUUUCGAUAGAUACUGCCUGUGCUGCAGUAUCAGAUAUCAUCAGAGCCACAUCUCUGGCUUCUGCCUUGCAAUAGUUCCAAGUUCUCUUCCUUGUGAAGGGGUGAGCACGUGACCACCACCAUCCAUAAAGGCUGAAGUGAGUGUACUUAGCUAAAGGGCACUGCAAUAAUUUUUCUCUUCCACAUGAGAAAGUUAGCCUUGCACAUUCUGUGGCUCGCCGCUUGCUGUAAAUCAUCUUUUGGGGAGGGGUGGACACAUUGUUUGAGUCUGCAUCCUUUCUACUCAUAAUAUAAAAUAUGGUGACUCCCCUACCAAGACUCAGAAUAGUUCCCAAGUAGAUGAAAAGGAAGUCGUUGUAGCAGGUGAUGCCCCCACCCCCAAUGUCCAAUGCACACUGCUGAAACUGAAUUCUGUUAGUGCUGGGGCCGAAGCUAUCUGUGAGGACAGUGGAAUCCCAUGGGAAUCUACAAUUUGGAGAGGACUGACGAUCAGUCUCUGAAAGGAUUGCUCUGCCCCAACAAGCACCAGUCUUUGAUUCCAAAGAACUAACUGCCUCUUUCUUGUCCUUGCAUUACCACGCCAAAGCACACCAAGAGUGCUGAAUCUGUGGCCGCUGGUUCAGUGGGGAUAGAAUAUAAUUUCCCUCUGUUUGCUCUGACUCUUAAAUGCCUACUACAGGAUGGGGGCCAGUCAAUACUCACACUACUGGAAUUGCAAAAAGAGGCAGGAAUUUCGAUGUGAGUUUACCAGGGUAAAGCUUUGUAGCACGUUGGUAGCAACUCAGGAUGCAGCCAAGAUGGGUAGCCACUUGGUCUGAGGGGUACAGACAAGCCUACACACAGACACACAGUCAGUCACUGUGUCUGUCUGGUGUUCCCCCACCACCCUGCCUCCUGCUUGCACAACUUGCAGGGAAGAAAGCAACCAUCUCUUUCCACCCUUCCCUCACUCCUGAGAGCAAGUACAACAGCAGCUGCCCUGUCAGGAGACUCCCUAUUAGCCAGAAGGCACAGCCUGGGGAAAGAUGCAUCGCGUUCUCAUAGCAGGCUCAGUCGAGCUGGGCUCUUCCUUGGUGAGAACGCAACAAAUCAGGCAGAUGGGUGGACAGCAUCCUAGUGCUUCUGGGUGAAAGCUUUUCUGCCCCGAGGGACUCGGUAUAACUCACUUGACUUGUUCAGUGCAGGCGCGCUCCCAGAGAAGAGCCAGAAUAAGAAGAGCUGAUGAUUCUCCACCACCACCACCCCUGCUGCCUGCUGCUCAUCUUCAAGUUUACCACAAGUAUCAGUGGAGCCCCACACCCUUUGAAAACACGUCCUCAGCUGUAAUUCUGUCCUGUCUUUACCUUCUAGAACAUUGUUACUAUUCUGCAGACGGGCUAGGGCCCAGAGGGCUGAGUGCCUUUCUUAAAGCCAAAGUCAACACAGCAGAACGGAGUACAGGCUCCAAGCUUCUCAACUCCCAGUAAUAAACAUAAAAGCUGCCAUCGAUGAGUCCUGGAACCAGGGGUUGGGCUCUGUGCCAAAUGCCUUACAAGCAUUACCUCAUCUAUUCAUUGCAAGAAUCCUGUGGGGUAGGUAUUAUUAAUCCCAUUUUACAGAUGAGAGAUACCAGGCUAUGAAGUUAAAUAAUUUCCCCAAGGUCAGAAACACCAUAAAGCACAAACCCUCACCUACAAGAGGAGUCUGUCUGCAUCCUGGGAUUAUUCAGUGUUACACUGCCUCUCUGGCGGUUCCCAUUGACCAAGCAACCCAAUGCUCAGUGGGAGAAAUACAAGUUUUCUUAAGAUUUCAAAUAAAUUACUUGUAAGUGCCUAAUAAACUUCUGAAAUCCUCGUUUUAACAACUUUGAUAAUGCCAAACAGAAAAUACUUUAAAAACUAAAAACUUCUAUCCUUUGCUAGGUGUUUUUACUGGUCCAAAUGUUAUUGGCUUCCAUCUCUUAUUUCAUUUGAAAGAAAAGCAAAUGGCUUAAUAUAAAUUCCUGCGUGAAUUUUACUAGACGUCUGAGAAAACUUCAUGAGCACAGGAGGUUCUGGAGACAAACGGGCAGAGAUUUAAAUUCCAAAAGCACAAACUGACAACCUCUGAGAUGCAGGCAAGAACUAAGCCUACUCCGGUUUUGAAUUUGCAUUUAAGUAAAACUACUGGCUUCCCUGGGAUACUGACAAGCUGUGGUGGAAAGCCACUAGGCACAAGGCAGAGGACCACUAAUUAUACUAUUAUUGUUUCUCUGCUAUUUCUGCCUCGGAUUGCCCUAAUUUAAGCAAGGUGAUGGAUCCUGAACACUCUCCUUGAUGAAUUGCUCCACAUAUAGUCUUGAUAUAAACAGAAGACAAGGUACCCACGCCCGCACUGGGGGACAUCAUGUUCCUUCAGUCAGACCCUACCUUAAUCACCCUGUGACCCUGACAGUUCUUAGUCAGCCAGUACUAUUAAAACUGUCAUGUCUUCCAGGGUUCCCUCAUGCUCCUGUCAAAUAGGUGUUAUUUCACACACACACACACACACACACACACACACACACACACACACACACGAUAAUGUGUUAAUCCAGUCAACCAGGA